CAGUCGCCACGGUAAUACGAAGGGGGCUAGCGUUGUUCGGAAUUACUGGGCGUAAAGCGCACGUAGGCGGAUUUUUAAGUCAGGGGUGAAAUCCCGAGGCUCAACCUCGGAACUGCCUUUGAUACUGGAGAUCUUGAGUUCGGAAGAGGUUGGUGGAACAGCUAGUGUAGAGGUGAAAUUCGUAGAUAUUCGGAGGAACACCAGUGGCGAAGGCGGCUCACUGGUCCAUUACUGACGCUGAGGUGCGAAAGCGUGGGGAGCAAACAGGAUUAGAUACCCCGGUAGUCCCUGUCCUUAUACC
rnacentral:rRNA from 1 species